CGCGCUGCCGGGGGAAGGGGAGUUCCUCGCUCUCCCUCAGCCUCUUAGAGCUUCUCAGAAUGACUUAGAUGAUUUCUCUUGCUGUGAUUUGGACCUUCGAAGAACGGUCCUUCGUCGUGAGGCACUGCUACCAGGCUGAUCCGUUCGAGGUUGGCCCUGAAAUGGCGGCUGCAGCCACUUUUUAAACUGCCGCCGGCACUCCUCGCUCUGCCCAUGCGUGUCAGAGCCGCCGCGCUGCCGAGGGUAGGGGGGCAGCCUCACUCUUCCUCAGCUUCUUACAGCUUCUUAGACGCGGUUUUUGCCGUGAUUUGGAGCCACUAAGAAUGGUCCUUCAUUGUGAGCCUCCGCUGCCAAGCUGAUCUCCUUGGAGAAGGUGCUACUGAACAUAUUUCUACCGACCAGACACAAAAGGCAGCUGUGGGAAAGAGUGAUAAAUAACGGCUUGAAAAAAGCCAUAUUUAAAGCAGAACUAUUCUUAGAUGUUGAUCUGUGUUAUAGACACACAAAAAGGAAACUGUUACAAGAGGAGUACUGAUGUUAACAAUACCAUCCAUUUUAUCUAAGUGAGAGAAUUACAUACUUUGAAAGACAAGAAACAGAAGAAUGCAGAAACAGCCUGAGCCUACACAAUGCUCAGAAAUGUGUCUGAUUCAUCAAGCUGCACCCCAGGAUUCAUCUCGAUGGUGAAGGUGCUUUUGGAGGGGGUGGUCAGCUUGAUCUUGCACGAGUUGUGGGAGGGCAGCCGCUCCAGGUGAGAGUCAGUCAACUAAGUAGACACUUCCAGGCUGCUUUCAGUUGAUUCUGGAGCCAGCGCAUGCUUUUCCCCACAUGCAGAUAGGAGCCCGUGCAGAAGGUGUUGAGCAAGCUGGGUUCCUGUUUUUCUCUCAGCUCCUCCUGAGUGUGGUGGAGAAAGCAGAUCAUGUCCCCCAGCGGCUGCUCCCUCACACAGGUGCACUCCAGCUGCACGCAGACAGGACUUCCUUGUUGAUGUCUCCACCACGUCUCCCAGCUCCACAUGGAAGAUGUGCCCAGGGGAAGGUAUAAUGGGCAUGAGCAGAUGGUAGACGACGACGUCUUGGUGGGCACUCCAUUCUUCAUAGACUCAGGCCACCGUGAUGGCUGGUUGUAGCCAGGGCAUGAAGCUGUGGCAGGUCCUCAGCAGGCACGAAGAAGGUCAUCCACCGGCUCCUCCACCAUCUCCUCUACCAGCUGGCACUUGUUGGCCAUGUAUGGCGCUGGCCACUGGGUUCUCUCAACCCGAACUUCACCUAGGUCACAUGUCUCAUUCGAGUCACUGUCUUCUUCGACCUCCUCGUUGUCCUCCUCCUUGUUUCUGGAGCUUUUCUGGUUGCUGCUGCUGCAGACCAGGUUGCAUUCCACUUUCUUGAGACAGAUGUAGAGCUUAGGAAAGAUGACAAGGAUGGCAACACAUACCCAAAUCAUGCUGCUGCUCUUUGGCAAAUAUUUUGUUUUCCUGAUGCACCGCAGAAAGCCAAAGAGCAAGAAAAGGACUCCAGCAAAGGCCCAGAGCUUCCAGUGCAGCAGGGCACCAAGGAUCAGGGCUCCCUUGGCCUCCCAGCUCUUUCCCUGCCUCCCCUGCUCCAUGAUGUGAGGUGGCUGAACCAUGUUCAGACUCAGUUGCUCCACAUGCAGCUGAAUGUGCUCAUACAUAUCGCUAUUUAUGAGGUGAAUUUCCAAAUGGAUGAUUCCCAUCAGCGUUAGGAUGAUGAAGACCUGCUUGCAGAUGUUCAACCAUUCCCGGGAAAGCUGGGUUUCAUCAUGCAUGACUGUUACUUGGGAAGGCAAAAUCCUCUGGCAUAUCAAGUAUCUUCAUCUUUGACAAGCAGAGUGACCAUGGCAUGACCAUACCACCUUCAGUUCAAUGAGCUUUCAGAUGACAGUCCCAUGAGUGAUAGACUAAAGUGAUUAGCUUCGAAGGACUGUUUGCUGACAGUACACAAAGAUUAUGAUGAAGAUGAGGGAAAAUGUGACAUUCAUGAGUAACUAAACAAUCCUGUGAAUCACAGUUGUGUGAGAAGAGGUUGGAUGGCUUCCUCACCUUGAAAGCUUGAUUGCAAUUGAUGUGGUAUGACUGUAUGAAGGGAAGCAGUUCGGAAUAUAUUGGGAAUAAACCAGUGAAGCUCUAUUGGAAGGCUCGGAGUGUAAGACUUCAUCUGCUGUAGCAACUUUCCUGUAUAUUACCCAACAAUUUUGUCCAGGCCAAAGAGCUGCAUAUGUAUUUUAACAAUGAGAAUUGUGUUAGGUUACAUUAUAUUAUCUAGGGACAAUUGUGUAUUUGUAUUAGUGAUCAUUAUUCUCCUUGUAGCAGCUAAACUUUUCAACUCCUAUUUAAGGUCUGCUGGUCAUGGGAAUUAUAUGUACAGAUUGUUAUAGUCUUGUACUUGUCCGUUGGACUUGAUCAUCUUUCGAGGUCCCUUCCAAUCCCUGGCAUUCUGUGAUUCUGUGAUCUUCAAUAAAUCUUUCAAGCAGAAAAAUAUGGUAAGGAGAUAAAUUAGCUAUCAAGGUGUUCCUGGCACAUUGCUGAAGAUUUUCACAUAUCUACAGUUAAAGAAAACAGCCUACUCUGAAGUACCAAUAAAUAAUAAAAGAUCAAGUUGUUAAGGAGCAGCGAUGGAGAAUCAUGGUAGGACAGGAAAAGGAUUAGAAAUGGAGCAUCACUGCAGAAAUUUGCUAUACAUUUGGUCUAAGAAACUAAGCAGUCAUCAAAGGCUGAAGUGGAUUUCAUUCCUGAUUUUCAGAUAGCUACUCUCUUGUAGUCAGUAAAGGAGGUUACAGAUCACAAAAGAAGACAUCUGCUCUCCUAACCUGGACUGUGACUGUGGAGAGAAUGUUUAAUGUAUGUGGUAGGAAGAUAGCAAGCACAAGGCACAACCUACUUGUUUAUCUCCUAGCACCAAGGAAGCAGAAAGCUGAGGACAAACAGUUCCUGGCAGCUAGAAUCUGGAAAGCUAAAAGGGGGAAAUGAACAAGUGUCAGAAACUAGCAGCUUCGUUCCAGGGUAGAUCACAGAAUUGGAAAGAGAAGGAGAAACAGCUUCAGGGUGCUUUCUUGAGGUGAAUAGGCCUAAUCGAACAUCACAAUGAACUUGUCUCCUACUCCAUUUAGACUUUAACUUGAGCCGCAGCAUAUCCAAGUUUCUCUGUUCCUGCACUGUCAUCAGACAUCCGUGAAGUAAAGACUGGUGUGGAGCAUGUCAUCCCUUAGCCAGUGCUGACUUAGUAAAGGGAUUUGUGAUGGUAUUUCUCCAGGUAAUAGAAUAACUGACAUCUAUGCCUAGGAUACAAGGAUUUAAAACUCCUACUUGUAUCAAACGUAAUACAAUACUGAAGUAGGCAGUGGGAAUAGUAGCCUGUACAGAAAGAAGGCUGUAAAAAUGUUUCAAGAAGAAAUGAAUAGUCAAGAGGAAGCAAACAAAAGAAAAUUAUUUGAAAGUCAAAUGUAAUAAGUCACUGAGAUGUAAUUUCUAAUACUGUUGUUAAAAUAUAAUCUUAUAUUGCAUAUUUAUAAGGUGCUUAGUUUACUCUGCUCUUCUCUCUCCUGGAAUGAAUAGAUUAUUUUUUAUUAUUUUAAAGGAAAAUGGUUGACAAAGGAGUGCCCUACUGUAUAUUCAUUUUUCAGGGACUCUUACUAGAGAUCACUAUCUAAUUAAUUUCCUGCUCUGUGAUAGGAUGUUAUUUCUUUUCAGUUGUUAGUAUUCUGUUGUCUAAAUAGACAGUAUUUUUCAGAAGUAUGAUAUUCCUCCAAGUUCUUAUUUCUAGUCCCCAUUUUUGUGCUUUAAAUAAAGAGUAUGUGCUCUUUAGUAGAGACUGAAGUGUAAUUACAUGCAGUUGCCACAUACACUUUGUGAUGGUUUAUGCAAACACCAACAUAAGUAAGUUAUUUUAACUGAGAGUCAACAAACUGAUAGCAAAUACAAGUCUUUCUGGUUUUUAAAAAUGUUAACUACUUCACAAGCAAUUUUUAAAAAUGUUUUCUUGAAGAAAAAUUAAACACCCACUCAUUGAUGGCAGUUGCUCAGAAUAGCUGUUUUCUUCAUCAGCAUCAUUUAGGAUUACAAUCUUAUUGCCCC
ensembl:lncRNA